rnacentral:lncRNA from 1 species
AUUGUUUGUUGUUGCUUGCUUGUUUUUGAAGGAAUAAAACUAUGAGAGCUAAAGUUGUGUUUCAAAAGAAGAAAAAUAUUCUAAUAAUCAAGAAUGCCCAGAAAUUGAAUGAUUUGCAUAAGCACUUCUUGGAAACUUGGUAGGAGGGAUUCCUCUCCAGACUGCCACUGAAUCACAAGAUCUCUUACCCCAUCCCAAAGACAUGGGAUAUUUUCUCCAUCUUUUCCUGAGUGAUUGGAGGUGAGGUGUAAAGGGUCAGAUUGAUAGGAGAUUCCCAAGAUGCCCAACUAUCAUUCAAAACAUCUGCCUCAAUGAGGUGCCCAGUCUUGGCCAAGCCUGCAAGAAGUAACAUGAAGAAUCCUUGUAGGGAAGGAAGAAGAAUCAAAAAGAAUCCCAAGAUCUGCCAGCUUCUAGAGCCAAUGAGCCUCCCGCACAGAGAGAAAACUGAGGGACUA